AAAAACAACAGACGAGAAAUGUUAUGAAUGUGGAAGUAAGAGGUGGGUGGAUAGACACCUUAGUGACAUUUUAUCAACUCACAAUGUCUAAACUGCAGAUUUUAAGUGUUUUUCUGACAGAGAGAUUAACUUUGGCUGCGCAGGAGAUUUUUAAGUCUGUGGAAGACAUGUUUUCAGAGUAUAAUGAGGAGAUUUGUCGCUCCAGACAGGAGAUUGAGCUGCUCAAGAGGAGACUGCAGCAGGCAGGAGUUCAGAUGGACUCUGAAACGCAGUCUUGCUCCUCUGAGACUCAAGGAAAGAAAUACAUCCAGACAUUUUCAGAGGAAUGGAGAUCUGAACAUGAUUUUAAGGACACUGAGAUGCAUAUGAAACUAGAAGUUUAUACACAGCAGGAGGAGAAUGAAGAGCAAAUGCCUGUAUGCAGUGAAUCGGCAUCUUUAUCACCAUGUAUGGACAAUUAUCAUGAUCAGACGCCCAGCAAAGACACUGAACCCCAAAUGAUGGACAGUAGUGAGAAUAAUUUUCCCUUUAACCAAGGACCACGAAUAAAGACUGAACUUGAGAGUAAUUCUGAAACAAGUACCACCUGUCAAGUACAGCAGCACAUCACAAAACACGGCUUGAAUGAUUCAGGGGCCAGCGAUUCUUCCAGUGAUGCCAACAAAAUCACAUUCAGCCACAUUGGCUCGCCCAGACAUGAGACACAAACAUUUAAUCUACCCGUCAGAAAUCAAGAGAUGUUGACGCAGCAUAGGAUGGAGCUGGCCCAGAUAAGAGAGAGAUAUCAAAGACGAAAAUCUCAGGGGAAAGUGAAAUUCGCUAAAGAUCUGAACCCAAUAGAAUUGAGAAGGCAACAGAAAAAGUGGAGGGAGAAUUCAGCCUCUUACAGGAGAAAAAAAUCAUUUCAGGAGGUUUUAGUCAACAUUAAAGAAGACAUUAAUCAAGUCAUCCCAGAGCCAGAGCCGUCCACCUCCUCUGAUCAACAUUAUGGUAUUUUUUAA
rnacentral:lncRNA from 1 species